rnacentral:lncRNA from 1 species
CAUGGAUGACAGGAACACAGGCAGAUCAAGGUGACAGGUCAUACAGAACCUAUUGGACUCUAGAAAGCAGGCCAUGUGACUGAGCAGCUAUAGAGGGCCUGAGUGUGUGGCCUUCAUCAGUGCAGUCGGAAGAUGCUGGAACCUGACUCCCUGUGUGCUAAUGUCUAUUACAAGGUCUGUCCUUGGAGAGCGUAUGGAGAGCACACUUCACACAUCCCGUUAACAACGCCUGCCAUGUAUUUAUGGGUUAAGUCGAUCAGCUGACUCUCCGCUCGCUUUGCAUUUCUGAAAUUGUUAAUUGACUGGCACACAAGGGUAAAUUCUUCUGACUACUGUGGUGUGCGUGUGCUUCUGUUUUGAGUGUGAGAGAAAAUGUAUUCAUGUGUCUGUGUGUGCAUGUGCCCAUGCUUUCCUAUAGUGUCAGGUAGACAUUUUAAUUUCUUUUAAAGCAGUGCUGUCAGACUGAAAUCUUGUACACUGGAGUGUAAUGUGCUUUGUGUUCUCAGGCGCAGAGUGUGAACAUCCCAAGAGUACUCCAUACUGAAUAUGUAUACACAAGCCUAAUGGUAGUAGUGGUGACCACACUACUCUAUUUAUUAUUCUGUCUUUCAGAUGUUAUUCAUUUAGAACAAAUAAGGUAUAUUUUUAGAAUCAAAUUUGUAAACACUAUAAAAUCUUUAAUAAGUUAUAAGGUCUAUGAUAUGUUUACUUUGAAAAUUGCUGUUGAAAGCAAGAUGUAUUAAAUAUGUAAUUAUC